ACGAACGCUGGCGGCGUGCUUAACCCAUGCAAGUCGCACGGAAAGGCCCUGCUUUUGUGGGGUGCUCGAGUGGCGAACGGGUGAGUAACACGUGAGUAACCUGCCCUUGACUUUGGGAUAACUUCAGGAAACUGGGGCUAAUACCGGAUAGGAGCUCCUGCUGCAUGGAGGGGGUUGGAAAGUUUCGGCGGUUGGGGAUGGACUCGCGGCUUAUCAGCUUGUUGGUGGGGUAGUGGCUUACCAAGGCUUUGACGGGUAGCCGGCCUGAGAGGGUGACCGGCCACAUUGGGACUGAGAUACGGCCCAGACUCCUACGGGAGGCAGCAGUGGGGAAUAUUGCACAAUGGGCGGAAGCCUGAUGCAGCAACGCCGCGUGCGGGAUGACGGCCUUCGGGUUGUAAACCGCUUUCGCCUGUGACGAAGCGUGAGUGACGGUAAUGGGUAAAGAAGCACCGGCUAACUACGUG
rnacentral:rRNA from 1 species